rnacentral:rRNA from 1 species
AUUUGCAUAUCAAAAAGCGGAGGAAAAGAAACCAACAGGGAUUGCCCUAGUAACGGCGAGUGAAGCGGCAACAGCUCAAAUUUGAAAGCUAGCCUUCGGGUUCGCAUUGUAAUUUGUAGAGGAUGAUUUGGGGAAGCCGCCUGUCUAAGUUCCUUGGAACAGGACGUCAUAGAGGGUGAGAAUCCCGUAUGUGACAGGAAAUGGCACCCUAUGUAAAUCUCCUUCGACGAGUCGAGUUGUUUGGGAAUGCAGCUCUAAAUGGGAGGUAAAUUUCUUCUAAAGCUAAAUAUUGGCGAGAGACCGAUAGCGCACAAGUAGAGUGAUCGAAAGAUGAAAAGCACUUUGGAAAGAGAGUUAAAAAGCACGUGAAAUUGUUGAAAGGGAAGCGCUUGCAAUCAGACUUGUUUAAACUGUUCGGCCGGUCUUCUGACCGGUUUACUCAGUUUGGACAGGCCAGCAUCAGUUUCGGCGGCCGGAUAAAGGCUCUGGGAAUGUGGCCUCCACUUCGGUGGAGGUGUUAUAGCCCAGGGUGUAAUACGGCCAGCCGGGACUGAGGUCCGCGCUUCGGCUAGGAUGCUGGCGUAAUGGUUGUAAGCGACCCGUCUUAA